AAAUCAGAAACUACCCACUAUAUAAAAGCGCUCAUCAAUUUCCAAUUUUAUAUUUUCAUUAUCAAAUACACAAGUGUCUUGCUCAAGAUGAUCGCUAAAGUUAUUAUGUUGUCACUUUACGUGACUUUUGUCGCAGUCGGUGCUCUUCUUCAGUCUUCAUCUUUUAAGGAGUGUGGAAAAGAUAUUCCAACACCCUAUUUUUUCAAUCUCUCGAAUUGCGCUGCAACUCAAUCUGUAUGUCCUCUUUACAUGGGCAUUCCAAUAAAUACUAUUUUUACUUAUACUAUACGUAAGUUUAUAAAAAUUCUGAAAAUAUCUGAAAUAUAUAAAUUUAUUUUAUUUUUGAAUGAUCACUCACAUUUUACCAAUACUGUUAAUAAAAUACUCAUUUUCUAGCUUAUGAGACACAAUCAAUGAAAGUAAGAGCUGCUUUUCGAUUUCCUACGGGCUUAGCAAUGUGGAUGCCAUAUGUGGGGUUCUUGAGGAAUGGUUGUUGGAAUGGUUGGAAUAAUUAUCAAUGUCCUGCUCAACAAGGUCAGGUAGGAUCUUAUUCGACAGGUAAUAUAACUGUCCCAAAAAUUCCUGGCGCAGAUAAUGUUAGGCUUGAUAUAAAAUUCAUGAUGAAAGACGACAAGGAGAGAGAUAUCUUCUGCUUGAUAGUAAAUACUAUAAUUAAAAAAUAUCCAGUGGCUUCAAGCAAAACUAACUAUGUACUUUAAUCCUAAAAUCAAUAUUAAAUAGUGCUUAAGCUAU